rnacentral:sRNA from 1 species
AUUUUAUUGAAAGAUAGACUUUGUGAGGCCUAUAUUAAGCGCACUUUGGGACUCUCCCUUAGUGCUUUUUUGAUUUCU